rnacentral:rRNA from 1 species
UACGGAGGGGGCUAGCGUUGUUCGGAAUUAUUGGGCGUAAAGGGCGCGUAGGCGGCCCGAUAAGUCUGAUGUGAAAUCCCUCGGCCCAACCGGGGAACUGCAUUUGAAACUGUUCGGCUCGAGUCCGGGAGAGGGUAGUGGAAUUCCCAGUGUAGCGGUGAAAUGCGUAGAUAUUGGGAGGAACACCGGUGGCGAAGGCGGCUACCUGGACCGGUACUGACGCUGAGGCGCGAAAGCUGGGGUAGCAAACAGG